CCACCGUCCAGAAUCGCUCCAGUGUCAGCUGAAUUCCUCGUGUUCAUGUUCCAAAGAAAACUACUGCAGUUGUCUUCAGCUGUUGCCUCUGUUGGUGGUCCUUGUAGAGAAGCCAAGGGCUGGGGUGAUCUCAGGAGACUGCUCAGGGGGAAUUCAGGGACGAGAAACUUAAUGGCUGCAGUUUUAUAGUCUUUAUCAGACCAUCGAGCUGUAAUCAGAAGAUAAGAGUUAUCAUCCGUCAUCUGAAUCAAGUUUCAAGAGAAAAUCAUUGCAAGACAGCCUCUGAUGUCAGCGUUUCCUACAGGUAAAAACCACGAUGCUUUGCUUUAAUAUAAUCAAAAGAUGAUAUGUAAUGUGAUGUUUUGAAAUGACUUUUAUAUGAAAAAGACUUAAAC